ACACUGCCAAAUGACACUGAUUUGUUGCUUCUGAAGACAAAUAAAUUUAACAAUCUCGAGGAGAAGUUCACUUUACUUAGGCCGGAGGAGGAGUUUGAUGCCGGAAUCCCAAAAACCUGCUAGUGUGUGAUCGGAGAAAGCUUAUCUAUGGAGCGCGUAAGGCUUCGAUUGACGUUCGAGGACCCGAACAUUCUCAGUGAUUUACAGAAAUCAGAGGGUCUGAGGUGCAGUUGGUUUCUUCUCAAACCCCAAUUGCUACACAAAACUAUCUCCGAUCUGUCUUCUCAUAUUCUCCGCACUUUUCAACUCCAUGGCUCUUGUCCGCAUGGCCUUCUCCUCUCUAUGGACGGUUUUCUCUUGCCUCCUUUCGAAUCAACUUGUAUCUUGAAGGAUAAAUGUAUAGUCAGUGUGAAGAAGAAAGGCGGUGUUUUGGCCAUUGAAGGAAAUGAUGCACCAAGUAUAGUUGAGAAUAUCAGAAUUGUUGAGAAGCAACCUGUAAACACGCGACACUUACUGUUGGCGAAUAAGGAGUUUGACAAUGAAUCUGGAGGUUAUGAGAGUGAAGAUGAGGAAGGGGCAGAUCCAACAAAAGUUUCAGGUUCACAUCUGGAAAAUUCAUUGGGUUGUAAUAUUAUCUCCGAGAAAAGGAAGGCCACAGAAACACUUCCUGUCUCGAAGAAAAAGAAACAUUGUUCUGAAGUUGCUGAGAAGGUUGAUGAGCAGACCAAGAAAUCUCAACAAGGUCUGACAAGCAAGAAGAGUCAUUGCAAGCAAAAGAAGCUAGCUGAUCCGGAUAGCAAAGAUUUGGAUAAUAUCAAAGGAAGUGCUGAAAGUAGCAAGGUUAAUGACAGUAUUUCGGGCAUGAAGAAAAGUGACAAGAUUCAAGAGAAGGGUGUGGAGAAUGUAGAGGCAACCACGAAGCCUGAGAGAGUAAAAAAGGGUCCGAGUAGAAGUGCCCGGAAACAAUAUGCUAAAAGGCAAUGGUUGCGAGAAAUGGUCAAAAUUUAUAAGAAUGUAGCUUCUGAAGCAGAGGGACUUAAGGAACUGCAGGCUAAUGGUGGAAGAAGAGCUGGUAAAUUACACCCAAAGUGGCUUGUUAAUGGUGAGACUGAUGGCAAACCAAUGGCACGUAGGAACUGGAAGCAGCAACAAAGCAAAACUGAAUAUCAAGAGGUGAAUGGCCAACCAAAAGGACUACUGCACUGGAAGAAAUUGCGGGAAGAAGAUAAGGGUAGAGAUACGAACAAACAAGAUCAGGCGAAUGAAAAAAGCACCUUCUGUGGAGAACCAGGACAACACAAUGAUAUGGAGGCUGAAACUAUUCCAGAUCAAGCUUUGCAGCAUGAUCAAGUGCAAGAGAUAGUUUUUCCGUCAAUUGAUGAAGUUUGCCUUGUCAAAAAUGGUAAUUCAGACUCUGUAGCAGGACUUCCUGCCACAAACAAAUCAAAUCCAGUCCUUAAGGCUGCUAAAAAGAAAACUAAUGGCCCAGCUAUAGGUAAUUAUCGUUGUUAUUGCACUGGCUAUGUGGUGGAGUUAGUUGGAGGAGAUUUCAUUAGAUCAACGUUAAUUUUCCUUUCCAUUUGAGUCAUUAUAAUUUGACUGUUUGUGGAAAUGAACCAUGGAAACCAAACACAUUCUGGUCUUAAAGAAAAAGGAGUAAACCUCUGGGAACAACACAGUGAGACCAUCAACGCGGAGAAGGAACAGUUACAUGAAGAAAGUAGCUGGGGUACGUGGAGCUCUGCGAAGAAGAGCUCAUGGUCAGAGAGAACCUUGAAAGGCAGUGCUCGUGGUCCUACAAUGGCCUUUCGAAGAUAUAAAAGAUGAAAUAUGAGAUGAAGCAAACUUGUAUAUAUUGUGUUCCUUACUCUCACAAUGAAGUCAACGAACUCCGUUUUGUAGGUAUCAAGGGGAAACUUUGUUGCUUAUAGUAGCAGCAAGUUAGUGUUACCUAAAGUUUAUCUGGAUGUCUUAGUUAGAACUAGUAUGUAAAAAUGUUCCAUAUGUAAGCUUGACAAAAAUUUAACCUUUGUUGUACUGUACUGCAAAUCUGCAAAGUGUCUAACCUAAAACUAGUUUGAGUUUUUGGUGCAAGUAAUUCUAGUAUAUGUGUGCUUUAAGCAUGGUUUCCUGUUA